GACGAACGCUGGCGGCGCGCUUAACACAUGCAAGUCGAACGGAAAGGCCUGCUUUCCCUUGUGGAUUGCGGGUACUCGAGUGGCGAACGGGUGAGUAACACGUGAGUGAUCUGCCCCCAACUUGGGUAUAAGCCUGGGAAACUGGGUCUAAUUCCCGAUAGGACUGCAGGGUGGUGCCUGUGGUGGAAAACGAUUUUCUAGUGGUUGGGGAUGAGCUCGCGGCCUAUCAGCUUGUUGGUGGGGUAAUGGCCUACCAAGGCGGCGACGGGUAGCCGGCCUGGGAGGGUGGACGGGCACAUUGGGACUGAGAUACGGCCCAGACCCCUACGGGAGGCAGCAGUGGGGAAUAUUGCACAAUGGGCGGAAGCCUGAUGCAGCGACGCCGCGUGGGGGAUGACGGCCUUCGGGUUGUAAACUCCUUUCGACCGCGAGGAAGCCACCUGGUUGGAAGGGUGGUGACGGUAGUGGUAGAAGAAGCACCGGCUAACUACGUG
rnacentral:rRNA from 1 species